GGGAUAGUGACAGUGGGGAGGUCUCUCACUGCUACCAUUCUCCACUCUGCUCCACAGCAGACAGUAACAGUGGGGAGGUCUCUCACUGCUACCAUUCUCCACUCUGCUCCACAGCAGACAGUAACAGUGGGGAGGUCUCUCACUGCUACCAUUCUCCACUCUGCUCCACAGCAGGCAGUAACAGUGGGGAGGUCUCUCACUGCUACCAUUCUCCACUCUGCUCCACAGCAGGCAGUAACAGUGGGGAGGUCUCUCACUGCUACCAUUCUCCACUCUGCUCCACAGCAGGCAGUAACAGUGGGGAGGUCUCUCACUGCUACCAUUCUCCACUCUGCUCCACAGCAGGCAGUAACAGUGGGGAGGUCUCACACCUCUCACUGCUACCAUUCUCCACUCUGCUCCACAGCAGGCAGUAACAGUGGGGAGGUCUCUCACUGCUACCAUUCUCCACUCUGCUCCACAGCAGGCAGUAACAGUGGGGAGGUCUCACACCUCUCACUGCUACCAUUCUCCACUCCGCUCCCCAGCAGGCAGUAACAGUGGGGAGGUCUCUCAC